ensembl:lncRNA
AAUCUCUUCCUUGAGAUCAGUCUUUGUGGGGUUUUUGUGAGCCUACAACACUGCAUCUUCUGUUCCUCACUUGUCUGCCCAUCCCCUCUGCGGGCUCUGAGCUUCAGAAAUAUGCCCUAGGAGCGGGAAAAGCGUGUAAGACAUGCAGUAGGCCGUUCUGCGUCAUAAGAACAAGCUCUCAAAUUCAAUCUUGUGGGGAAGAUUUUCACAGAAGAGGUAAAUAUUUGGCUGUUCUUUCUAAGAUAGAAGCAUAAAAUUCUGGAAUGCCUUCUGGCACCUGGCUGCUGGAUGUUGAACCAUAAAAGAAGUUCCCUGAUUCAAGCCCUGGGAAGAUGUUUUCCAUGUACAUUGUAAAACCAUGCUCAUAAGUCAUUCUUCUAGGCCUGCUGAGUGCAUGCAAUAGCUGGAAGAUUGUUGGAAUACACUUGAGCACUGAAAUCUAUACAUGACUUAUAACACAACAUUCUGCUACUACUGAUUUACUCCUUCCAUACCAAAGUGUUGGGAGAAAUGUGUGGCAGAUGUAUUUCAUGGAGGAUGCUGCUGUUCUCAGCAGGAUGCCUGUUCAGCCUGCACUUCCAUCUCCCUGCUAGGGAGCACUUUGAGGAAUUGACCAUUAUCAAGGGAGAGGAAAGCCUGGAUGUGAAGAUGAAAGGCUUAAGCUUCAUAGUUUACGAACCCAGUGCACAUAGGAGUGCCAAUUUUGGAGCAGGCUUGUGCUGGGAUGGUAGGACCUUGUAGCUCUACGGGAAAGAGGAGUUCUGUGGUGCAGUAAAACCCCCAGAAAUUGAGCUGCAUUCCCAGUGUGCUGUAGGCCAUAAUACAAGUGUUGCUGGUGUUGUUAAUAUAUGCACAAUAUAAUGAAUAUUAUUACUAUUGUUAAACACUUUGAUUGUAGUUAAUGUAGGUACAAGUAAAAGCCUACUGAAAAAUAAGAGUUAAGUAGAGUAAUGAAAAGAACAGGCAUUACACAGUCACUGUAUCUCAACAAAGCCCAACGUUGUGGAAUUCUACCCAUCCCACAAGAAAAUAAUCGUAAUGUCAGCUAGCAAGUGCAGUUGUGUGGUUGUUACAUUACAUAUUGCUCUAUGCUUAUAUGCUAAUCACAGAAUGACUAAGUACAGAUAUUACUCAGAAAAAAAAGUGUUAAAAUUUGACAAAAAAAAAAAUAUAAGCGGUGCUUUGUUGUAGUCUCCCCGUAGGUCCUUUAGAUCAGAUUUAACUUUUUAACUCUUGGAGAUGUGUGAAGAUAAGUGUGUUGCUGAAAGGUCUGUAUGAUUUGUCUGAAAAUGGAAUUGUUGCUCUUUUCUCUGUUAAGCGGUCCUGUAUCAUACUGUUGUCAAGUAACAAUGCAGUCUGUAGCAUGAAUAUUAAGGUUGGAUUCUUAAAAU